rfam:Triticum aestivum genome assembly, contig: Triticum_aestivum_CS42_TGACv1_scaffold_062253_1DL
UAUAUACUCCCUCCGUCUCAAAAUUCUUAUCUUAGAUUUGUCUACAUACAGACGUAUCUAUUCACGUUUUAGUGUUAGAUACAUCUGUAUUUAGAUAAAUCUAAGACAAGAAUUUUGGAACGGAGGGAGUACACG